rnacentral:rRNA from 1 species
ACGCACGCUGGCGGCGUGCUUAACACAUGCAAGUCGAACGGUGAAGCGCCUUCCUUUUUGGUGGGUGUGGAUGAGUGGCGAACGGGUGAGUAACACGUGAGUAACCUGCCCCCUUCUUCUGGAUAACCGCAUGAAAGUGUGGCUAAUACGGGAUAUUCUGGGUCUGUCGCAUGAUGGGUCUGGGAAAGAUAUUGUUUCGGUGGGGGAUGGGCUCGCGGCCCAUCAGCUUGUUGGUGGGGUGAUGGCCUACCAAGGCGGUGACGGGUAGCCGGCCUGAGAGGGUGGACGGUCACACUGGGACUGAGACACGGCCCAGACUCCUACGGGAGGCAGCAGUGGGGAAUAUUGCACAAUGGGCGCAAGCCUGAUGCAGCGACGCCGCGUGAGGGAUGGAGGCCUUCGGGUUGUGAACCUCUUUCGCCAGUGAAGCAGGCCUGCCUCGUUUGUGGGUGGGUUGACGGUAGCUGGAUAAGAAGCGCCGGCUAACUACGUG